ACUUAAGCAUAUCAAUAAGCGGAGGAAAAGAAACUAACAAGGAUUCCCCUAGUAGCGGCGAGCGAAGCGGGAAGAGCUCAAAUUUAUAAUCUGGCACCUUCGGUGUCCGAGUUGUAAUCUCUAGAAGUGUUUUCCGCGUUGGACCGCACACAAGUCUGUUGGAAUACAGCGGCAUAGUGGUGAAACCCCCGUAUAUGGUGCGGACGCCCAGCGCUUUGUGAUACACUUUCAAUGAGUCGAGUUGUUUGGGAAUGCAGCUCAAAUUGGGUGGUAAAUUCCAUCUAAAGCUAAAUAUUGGCGAGAGACCGAUAGCGAACAAGUACCGUGAGGGAAAGAUGAAAAGCACUUUGGAAAGAGAGUUAACAGUACGUGAAAUUGUUGGAAGGGAAACGCUUGAAGUCAGACUUGCUUGCCGGAGCUUGCUUCGGUUUGCAGGCCAGCAUCAGUUUUCCGGGGUGGAUAAUGACGGUUUGAAGGUAGCAGUCUCGGCUGUGUUAUAGCUUUCCGUUGGAUACGCCCUGGGGGACUGAGGAACGCAGCGUGCUUUUUGCGAAAGACUCGUCUUUUUCACGCUUAGGAUGCUGGUGGAAUGGCUUUAAACGACCCGUCUUGAAACACGGACCAAGGAGUCUAACAUGCUCGCGAGUAUUUGGGUGUCAAACCCGGAUGCGCAAUGAAAGUGAAUGUAGGUGGGAACCGCAAGGUGCACCAUCGACCGAUCUGGAUUUUUUAAGAUGGAUUUGAGUAAGAGCGCGUAUGUUGGGACCCGAAAGAUGGUGAACUAUGCCUGAAUAGGGCGAAGCCAGAGGAAACUCUGGUGGAGGCUCGUAGCGGUUCUGACGUGCAAAUCGAUCGUCAAAUUUGGGUAUAGGGGCGAAAGACUAAUCGAACCAUCUAGUAGCUGGUUCCUGCCGAG
rnacentral:rRNA from 1 species